CAUAGUGAGGUGUAGUCUGAAGAAAGCUGGAGGCAAAUCUCUGGUUUGACGAACAGAGAUCAAAUCAGGCUACAAUUAAGGAUAAAACUGUAUAACAAGUUCAAUCGUGUUUUGUAAUAAUACAAACUGUAAAUUU
rnacentral:ncRNA from 1 species